GAGGAGACUAGGGAACCUCAGACAGGUUUAAACCCUCUGCCAAACAAUGAAGAACCUGUAAGUGAUGCUGGAUGUAACACUGGAAACACAUCAGUUAGCUCCUCUGAACGUGCAGGAAGCUUUGACCACGAGGAACAUCUGCAGAAACCCUCUGGAGUCCAAACGGGAGGGAAAACAUCUAGUUGCUCAGUUUGUGGUAAAAGAUUUCCACACCCUUGUAAGAAACCCUUUAGGAUCACAUGAGACUUCAUUCAGAAGGGAAAAUGUUAAACUGCUCAGUUUGUAAAACAAGUUUC